CAUGCAGUCGAGCGAAUGGAUUAAAGCUUGCUCUUAUGAAGUUAGCGGCGGACGGGUGAAUAACACGUGGGUAACCUGCCCAUAAGACUGGGAUAACUCCGGGAAACCGGGGCUAAUACCGGAUAACAUUUUGAACCGCAUGGUUCGAAAUUGAAAGGCGGCUUCGGCUGUCACUUAUGGAUGGACCCGCGUCGCAUUAGCUAGUUGGUGAGGUAACGGCUCACCAAGGCAACGAUGCGUACCCGACCUGAGAGGGUGAUCGGCCACACUGGGACUGAGACACGGCCCACACUCCUACGGGAGGCAGCAGUAGGGAAUCUUCCGCAAUGGACGAAAGUCUGACGGAGCAACGCCGCGUGAGUGAUGAAGGCUUUCGGGUCGUAAAACUCUGUUGUUAGGGAAGAACAAGUGCUAGUUGAAUAAUCUGGCACCUUGACGGUACCUAACCAGAAAGCCACGGCUAACUACGUGCCAGCAGCCGCGGUAAUACGUAGGUGGCAAGCGUUAUCCGGAAUUAUUGGGCGUAAAGCGCGCGCAGGUGGUUUCUUAAGUCUGAUGUGAAAGCCCACGGCUCACCCGUGGAGGGUCAUUGGAAACUGGGAGACUUGAGUGCAGAAGAGGAGAGUGCAAUUCCAUGUGUAGCGGUGAAAUGCGUAGA
rnacentral:rRNA from 1 species